GGUUGAUCCUGCCAGUAGUCAUAUGCUUGUCUCAAAGAUUAAGCCAUGCAUGUCUAAGUAUAAACAUCUUUAUACAGUGAAACUGCGUACAGCUCAUUAUAUCAGUUAUUAUUUAUUUGAUGGUACCUUACUACAUGGAUACCCGUAGUAAUUCUAGAGCUAAUACAUGCGUAAAAUCUCAACUUUCGGGAAGAGAUGUAUUUAUUAGAUAAAAAACCAAUGCAGGUUUUACCUGGUUAUUUGGUGAUUCAUAGUAACUGUUCGAAUCGCACGACCUUGUGUUGGCGAUAGUU
rnacentral:rRNA from 1 species